rnacentral:rRNA from 1 species
AUUGAACGCUGGCGGCAGGCCUAACACAUGCAAGUCGAACGAGUGGCGGACGGGUGAGUAAUGUCUGGGAAACUGCCCGAUGGAGGGGGAUAACUACUGGAAACGGUAGCUAAUACCGCAUACCAUCGGAUGUGCCCAGAUGGGAUUAGCUAGUAGGUGGGGUAACGGCUCACCUAGGCGACGAUCACUAGCUGGUCUGAGAGGAUGACCAGACACACUGGAACUGAGACGCGGUCCAGCCUCCGACAGGAGGCGACAGUGGGGAAGAUUGCACACUGGUCGCAAGCCUGAUGCAGCCAUGCCGCGUGUAUGAAGAAGGCCUUCGGGUUGUAGAGUACUUUCAGCGAGGAGGCGUUGCUCGCAGAAGAAGCACCGGCUAGCUCCGUGCCAGCCGCCGCGGUAAUAC